AUGGAGAAGUCUAAACAUGGGAAGAGGAAUAACCGUGAGGACGGGAGCACGGGCAGAGGGCAUGGAAAGGGCCGCCCUUCGGGCAGUUCGAUGAAGAUGAACCCCGGGGGCAUGAAGAAUGAGAACGCAUUGCAGCCCCCCAAUGCUUCAACCUCAGCGAUGAAUGUUAUUAGGAAAAAGGUCGAUCCUGAAACUGCUAAAUACUUCCUCGAGAUAUCGAAUCUCUUUGAUAACAAGGAGAUAGACUUGGAGGACCGUUCGACGAUCUGCGCCAAUGCUUUGGAAGAAACCAAAGGGAAAGAGCUCGAACUUGUCACUGAUGGUGUAAUAAGCCACACCUUGCAGAUUCUUGUACAAGGUUGCGAGUUGGAGCAGUUAUGCAUGUUCCUCCGCAGCUGUAUUCAGUCUUUUGCUGUUAUUGCCAUGGACAAAUUUGGAUCGCAUGUGGCUGAAGCAGCCCUCAAGGCACUGGCAACACAUCUUGAAGACGACACCUCCAGGGUCAUUGUGGAAGAGAUACUGAAUAGGAUUUGCAAGGUUAUUGCUGCAGAUGCUACAAAUGUGAUGUGCAGCUGCUAUGGAUCUCAUGUUCUAAGGACACUUCUCUGUCUUUGUAAGGGCGUACCGUUCGAUUCAUUGCAAGAUUUCCACAUGACAAAGAGAUCUGCUGUUCUGGCUGAACGAUUGAGCGGUGGUUCAAGUAGACCAGGCGACCAGAAUCUAACAAGCUUUCAACAUGGUUUCCCAGACAUGUUCAAAACUUUUGUCAGGCAAAUGCUACAAAAUGCAAAAAAUGACAUUUCAACAUUACUAACUGAGAAGAACAGUAGCCUUGUUUUACAGACUGUGUUGAAACUAUCAGCUGGUGAUGAUGAUGAAUUGAAUCAUAUAAUAGCGGUUCUUCUUGGUUAUGACGAGGAUGACACUGCUCAGAAGAAAGAUUACAGUGAACAAAAGAAUAAGAUAGUUGCCUUACUUGAAGAUACUGCUUACAGUCAUCUCUUGGAGGUCAUUAUAGAUGUUGCUCCUGAGGAACUACGCAGCAAUAUGCUUAUAGGCACUCUCAAGGGUGCACUAUUUGCAAUCUCGUCUCACCACUGUGGUAACUAUGUGGUACAAGCUUUAAUAUCAUCAGCCAAAACUGCAGAUCAGAUGAAGCAAAUAUGGGAGGAACUUGGUCCUAAUAUCAAGGAGUUGCUUGAGCUAGGUAAAUCAGGAGUGGUGGCUUCCAUUUUAGCUGCAUGCCAGCGACUUGAAACAAAUCGCCUGGAGAUCUCUGAAGCUCUUUCUGCAGCAUUAACUUCAGAUUCCGAGCCUUCUGAUAGCAUUGUUGCACAUAUACUUUUUCUUGAGAAUUUCCUCCGCGAGAAAUCUUAUUGGAAAUGGCCGCUUGGUGUAAAGAUGAGUGUUCUUGGUUGCCUGAUGCUGCAAUCAAUUUUUCAAUACCCACAUCAAUAUAUUCGGCAGUAUGUUGCAAGUUUGCUGGCUUUGGACAAUGAUCAGAUCCUGCAGAUUGCCAAGGACCCUGGAGGCAGCCGUGUUCUUGAGGCAUUUUUAUGUUCAAGUGCAACAACAAAGCGAAAAUUUAAAGUUUUUGCAAAAUUGCAAGGCCAUUACGGGGAGAUUGCUAUGAAUCCUUCUGGCUCAUUCUUGGUAGAAGAAUGCUUUACAGCGAGUAAUUUUUCCCAUAAAGAGGCCAUUGUGUCAGAGCUGUUGGCUAUGCAAAAUGAACUAUCUCGGACAAGACAUGCCAUCCACUUGUUAAAGAAACUGGAUGUUGAUAGAUACUCAAGACGACCCGACCAGUGGAGAGCUGCGCAAACUUCGAAAGAAACAACUCAGAGAGAAUUUCAAGCCGAAUUUGGCCUGAACAACAGUAAACCUGUUGGCCAGAGUAUCGAGGAGCUGUUUUCUCCCCAAAGCCCUGCAAAGAAGCGUAAACAGAAAGAGAAGACCGACAAAACUACUACUGCGGAUGCCGGCACCACCAAGCCAGAAUCAUUUCAGAAAAACACCAAGGGCCAGAAAUCCGCCAAGGCAAUGUCCGAGGGAGAAUCGAGCAGCAAGAAGCCCGUGAGCAUGCCAUUCUUGAAUGACGGUGGCAAGAGGAAAUCGCCAGGUUUCCUAUCGGACAAACCGAUUCCCAAGAAACAGAAACACGAGAGACCCUCAGAUGGCAGGCGGUUUGUCGGGGAUGGCAGCAGCGUUGGCACACCGUUUGUCAGGCAUAAUGUCAAGCAGAAACAGUCCAUCGCCGAGCUUGCUGCUCUGGCUGGUAAGGAUAAACUGACCGCAGGGGAGGUCCGGAAGCUGCUCAAGCCCGAAAUUUCAGCCAAGGGCGCCUAA
rnacentral:rRNA from 1 species